GUAGGGAAUCUUCGGCAAUGGACGAAAGUCUGACCGAGCAACGCCGCGUGAGUGAAGAAGGUUUUCGGAUCGUAAAACUCUGUUGUUAGAGAAGAAUGUUGAUUAGAGUGGAAAAUUAAUCAAGUGACGGUAUCUAACCAGAAAGGGACGGCUAACUACGUGCCAGCAGCCGCGGUAAUACGUAGGUCCCGAGCGUUGUCCGGAUUUAUUGGGCGUAAAGCGAGCGCAGGUGGUUUAAUAAGUCUGAUGUAAAAGGCAGUGGCUCAACCAUUGUGUGCAUUGGAAACUGUUAGACUUGAGUGCAGUAGAGGAGAGUGGAAUUCCAUGUGUAGCGGUGAAAUGCGUAGAUAUAUGGAGGAACACCGGUGGCGAAAGCGGCUCUCUGGACUGUCACUGACACUGAGGCUCGAAAGCGUGGGUAGCAAACAGGAUUAGAUACCCCGGUAGUCC
rnacentral:rRNA from 1 species